AAGUCGUAACAAGGUUUCCGUAGGUGAACCUGCGGAAGGAUCAUUAACACGUAUCCAACGUUAAAAACACCCCUGUGAACCCGUUAAUCUUGCUCCUCACGCCCUGCACGCCUAGCAAUCCCUGGUAAAUCAUUGUUGAACAGAUUUUGAUUCAGGGACCUCAGUUUGGUAGGUUUCGAUCGAGCGAUCGUUGCAAGUGACCUGGUUUCCCGAAGCAUCAUGUCUGAAAGUGUCAUUGUUGUGGAAGGAUAACGCUUUACGAUCACUGGCCGAACACCGGCCAGUGGACGGGUCGCAGCGGCUUCGGCCCCCCCAUAUUCACCCCACUACCAGAACUCGCCUCGUAGGAAACUGCUGGGCAACAAAACGAACAACUGUUAACAAUGGAUAUCUUGGUUCUC
rnacentral:misc_RNA from 1 species